rnacentral:rRNA from 1 species
AGUGGCGGACGGGUGAGUAACGCGUGGGUAACCUGCCUCAUACAGGGGGAGUAACAGUUAGAAAUGACUGCUAAGACCGCAUAAUAUAGCGAAACCGCAUGAUUUUGCUAUCAAAUAUUUAUAGGUAUGAGAUGGGCCCCGCGUCUGAUUAGCUAGUUGGUGGGGUAAAAGCCUACCAAGGCGACGAUCAGUAGCCGGCUUGAGAGAGUGACCGGCCACAUUGGGACUGAGACACGGCCCAAACUCCUACGAGAGGCAGCAGUGGGGAAUAUUGGACAAUGGGGGAAACCCUGAUCCAGCCGACGCCGCGUGAGUGAAGAAGUAUUUCGGUAUGUAAAGCUCUAUCAGCAGGGAAGAUAAUGACAGUACCUGACUAAGAAGCCCCGGCUAACUACGUGCCAGCCGCCGC